rnacentral:rRNA from 2 species
GACGAACGCUGGCGGCAUGCUUAACACAUGCAAGUCGAACGAGCUGAUUCCUUCGGGAUGAAAGCGAGUGGCGAACGGGUGAGUAAUGUAUGAGUAACCUGCCUCUGUCUACGGGAUAACAUUUGGAAACAAGUGCUAAUACGGUAUAAGACCACAGCACCGCAUGGUGCAGGGGUAAAAGAUUUAUCGGAUAGAGAUGGACUCAUAUCCCAUUAGCUAGUUGGUGAGAUAAUAGCCCACCAAGGCGACGAUGGGUAGCCGAGCUGAGAGGCUGAUCGGCCACAUUGGAACUGAAACACGGUCCAGACUCCUACGGGAGGCAGCAGUGGGGAAUAUUGGGCAAUGGAGGCAACUCUGACCCAGCAAUGCCGCGUGAGCGAUGAAGGUCAUCGAUUGUAAAGCUCUUUUCCUGGGAACGAAACAAAUGACGGUACCCAGGGAAUAAGCCCCGGCUAACUACGUGCCAGCAGCCGCGGUAAUACGUAGGGGGCGAGCGUUGUCCGGAAUGACUGGGCGUAAAGGGUGCGUAGGUGGUUUAAUAAGUUAGAAGUGUAAUACCCAGGGCUUAACUCGGGUGCUGCUUCUAAAACUGUUAGGCUUGAGUGUAGUAGAGGAAAGCGGAAUUCAAUGUGUAGCGGUGGAAUGCGUGGAUAUAUUGAAGAACAUCAGUGGCGAAGGCGGCUUUCUGGACUAUAACUGACACUGAGGCACGAAAGCGUGGGGAGCAAACAGG